rnacentral:sRNA from 2 species
GCUGCGGCGUUAACGGCCGGUUAACCUUUCACGGCCAGUCUUAUUGCAAUACCGCUUUCUCCUUGACCACGGAUGAACUGGCACUGAGGCGAGCGGACGACGAAAGGCCGGUUUGAACCGGCCUUUUUGUUGU